UGAAUUACUAUAAGAGGUCCAGCCUGCCCAGUGACCCUGUUCAACGGCCGCGGUAUCCUAACCGUGCGAAGGUAGCGUAAUCACUUGUUCUCUAAAUGUGGACUAGUAUGAAUGGCAUCACGAAGGUUAUACUGUCUCCUUUUUCUAAUCAGUGAAACUAAUCUCCCCGUGAAGAAGCGGGGAUGACGCUAUAAGACGAGAAGACCCUAUGGAGCUUAAAACAAUGCAGCAUCUGCCCCAUAAUACUGAAAUUUCCGAAUUUAAACUUCACUGGACAGUGUGACUGCAAGUUUUUGGUUGGGGUGACCACGGAGCAUAACAUAACCUCCACGCUGAAAGAAUACCUCUAAGCUAAGAACCACAAAUCUAAGCAUCAAUAAAUUGACAUCCAUUGACCCAAUAUACUUGAACAACGAACCAAGUUACCCUAGGGAUAACAGCGCAAUCCACUUCAAAAGCCCCUAUCGACAAGUGGGUUUACGACCUCGAUGUUGGAUCAGGGUUUCCCAGUGGUGCA
rnacentral:rRNA from 1 species